UGCAAGUCGAGGGGCAGCACAAAAGUAGUUUACUAUUUUUGGUGGCGACCGGGCGCACGGGUGCGUAACGCGUAUGCAACCUACCUUAUACUGGGGGAAUAGCCCGAAGAAAUUCGGAUUAAUGCCCCCAUAGUACUGAGACCUCUCCUGGGGGAUUUAGUUAAAGCUUCGGCGGUAUAAGAUGGGCAUGCGUCCUAUUAGCUUGUUGGUAAGGUAACGGCUUACCAAGGCUACGAUAGGUAGGGGGCCUGAGAGGGUGAUCCCCCACACUGGUACUGAGACACGGGACCAGACUCC
rnacentral:rRNA from 1 species